rnacentral:rRNA from 1 species
GAUGAACGCUGGCGGCGUGCCUAAUACAUGCAAGUCGAGCGAACAGACGAGGAGCUUGCUCCUCUGACGUUAGCGGCGGACGGGUGAGUAACACGUGGAUAACCUACCUAUAAGACUGGGAUAACUUCGGGAAACCGGAGCUAAUACCGGAUAAUAUAUUGAACCGCAUGGUUCAAUAGUGAAAGACGGUUUUGCUGUCACUUAUAGAUGGAUCCGCGCCGCAUUAGCUAGUUGGUAAGGUAACGGCUUACCAAGGCGACGAUGCGUAGCCGACCUGAGAGGGUGAUCGGCCACACUGGAACUGAGACACGGUCCAGACUCCUACGGGAGGCAGCAGUAGGGAAUCUUCCGCAAAGGGCGAAAGCCUGAAGGAGCAACGCCGCGUGAGUGAUGAAGGUCUUCGGAUCGUAAAACUCUGUUAUUAGGGAAGAACAAAUGUGUAAGUAACUAUGCACGUCUUGACGGUACCUAAUCAGAAAGCCACGGCUAACUACGUG